rnacentral:rRNA from 1 species
UACGUAGGGUGCAAGCGUUGUCCGGAAUUAUUGGGCGUAAAGGGCUCGUAGGCGGCCAACUAAGUCGGAUGUGAAAUCCCCAGGCUUAACCUGGGAACUGCAUCCGAUACUGGAUGGCUUGAAUCCGGGAGAGGGAUGCGGAAUUCCAGGUGUAGCGGUGAAAUGCGUAGAUAUCUGGAGGAACACCGGUGGCGAAGGCGGCAUCCUGGACCGGCAUUGACGCUGAGGAGCGAAAGCCAGGGGAGCAAACGGG